rnacentral:rRNA from 1 species
CCGCGCGAAGGUAGCGUAAUCACUUGUUUUCUAAAUAAAGACUAGUAUGAACGGCCACACGAGGACUUAACUGUCUCCCUUGUCCAAUCAGUGAAACUGAUCUCCUCGUGCAGAAGCGAGGAUAUCACCAUAAGACGAGAAGACCCUAUGGAGCUUUAAACUAGUAUCAACUAUUUUUAACUUCUCUCCAAGGAAUUAACAGAUAACCAAAUAUGCUUGAUACAAGUUUUAGGUUGGGGCGACCAUGGAGAAAAAGAAAUCCUCCCUGAUGACUCACAAACCAAGAGCCACGGCUCUAAGUAUUAAGAUACUUAACUUCCAUUGACCCAUUUUAUGAUCAACGAACCAAGUUACCCUAGGGAUAACAGCGCAAUCCAUUUCAAGAGUCCCUAUCGACAAAUGGGUUU